UACGUAGGGGGCAAGCGUUGUCCGGAAUCAUUGGGCGUAAAGAGCGUGUAGGCGGCUCGGUAAGUCCGCUGUGAAAGUCCAGGGCUCAACCCUGGAAUGCCGGUGGAAACUGUCGAGCUAGAGUCCGGAAGAGGCGAGUGGAAUUCCUGGUGUAGCGGUGAAAUGCGCAGAUAUCAGGAAGAACACCCGUGGCGAAAGCGGCUCUCUGGAACGGUACUGACGCUGAGACGCGAAAGCGUGGGGAGCGAACAGG
rnacentral:rRNA from 1 species